rnacentral:rRNA from 1 species
ACAUCCAGAGAACUUAGCAGAGAUGCUUUGGUGCCUUCGGGAACUCUGAGACAGGUGCUGCAUGGCUGUCGUCAGCUCGUGUUGUGAAAUGUUGGGUUAAGUCCCGNAACGAGCGCAACCCUUAUCCUUUGUUGCCAGCGGCUCGGCCGGGAACUCAAAGGAGACUGCCGGUGAUAAACCGGAGGAAGGUGGGGAUGACGUCAAGUCAUCAUGGCCCUUACGGCCAGGGCUACACACGUGCUACAAUGGCGCAUACAAAGAGAAGCGACCUCGCGAGAGCAAGCGGACCUCAUAAAGUGCGUCGUAGUCCGGAUUGGAGUCUGCAACUCGACUCCAUGAAGUCGGAAUCGCUAGUAAUCGUAGAUCAGAAUGCUACGGUGAAUACGUUCCCGGGCCUUGUACACACCGCCCGUCACACCAUGGGAGUGGGUUACAAAAGAAGUAGGUAGCUUAACCUUCGGGAGGGCGCUUACCACUUUGUGAUUCAUGACUGGGGUGAAGUCGUAACAAGGUAAGCGUAGCGAG